GAUGAACGCUGGCGGCGUGCCUAAUACAUGCAAGUCGAGCGAACGGACGAGAAGCUUGCUUCUCUGAUGUUAGCGGCGGACGGGUGAGUAACACGUGGAUAACCUACCUAUAAGACUGGGAUAACUUCGGGAAACCGGAGCUAAUACCGGAUAAUAUUUUGAACCGCAUGGUUCAAAAGUGAAAGACGGUCUUGCUGUCACUUAUAGAUGGAUCCGCGCUGCAUUAGCUAGUUGGUAAGGUAACGGCUUACCAAGGCAACGAUGCAUAGCCGACCUGAGAGGGUGAUCGGCCACACUGGAACUGAGACACGGUCCAGACUCCUACGGGAGGAAGCAGUAGGGAAUCUUCCGCAAAGGGCGAAAGCCUGACGGAGCAACGCCGCGUGAGUGAUGAAGGUCUUCGGAUCGUAAAACUCUGUUAUUAGGGAAGAACAUAUGUGUAAGUAACUGUGCACAUCUUGACGGUACCUAAUCAGAAAGCCACGGCUAACUACGUG
rnacentral:rRNA from 1 species